UUGCGCGAGUUCAACAUCCUUACAUUGUUCAGUUUAAGGAAGCUUGGGUUGAAAAAGGUUGCUUUGUUUGCAUUGUUACUGGAUAUUGUGAAGGUGGCGAUAUGGCUGGAUUGAUGAAAAAAUCAAAUGGGGUCUAUUUCCCCGAAGAGAAACUCUGCAAGUGGUUUGUGCAACUACUUC